UAACGUUCCCUCAGCGGGGGAUAACCUUCCGAAAGGAGGGCUAAUACCGCAUAUGACCACGGCCUCGAAAGAGGCUGAGGCAAAAGCAGGCCUCUACAUGUAAGCUUGCACCUGAGGAUCGGCCCGCGUCCCAUCAGCUAGUUGGUGAGGUAACGGCCCACCAAGGCUUCGACGGGUAGCCGGCCUGAGAGGGCGAUCGGCCACACUGGGACUGAGACACGGCCCAG
rnacentral:rRNA from 1 species